GAUGAAGAACGUAGCGAAAUGCGAUAAGUAGUGUGAAUUGCAGAAUUCAGUGAAUCAUCGAAUCUUUGAACGCACAUUGCGCCCCUUGGUAUUCCAUGGGGCAUGCCUGUUCGAGCGUCAUUUGUACCUUCAAGCUCUGCUUGGUGUUGGGUGUUUUGUCUCGCCUCUGCGUGUAGACUCGCCUUAAAACAAUUGGCAGCCGGCGUAUUGAUUUCGGAGCGCAGUACAUCUCGCGCUUUGCACUCAUAACGGCGACGUCCAAAAGUACAUUUUUACACUCUUGACCUCGGAUCAGGUAGGGAUACCCGCUGAACUUAAGCAUAUCAAUAACGGAGGA
rnacentral:misc_RNA from 1 species